UACGUAGGGUGCGAGCGUUGUCCGGAUUUAUUGGGCGUAAAGAGCGUGUAGGCGGUUAGGUAGGUCCGUUGUGAAAACUCGAGGCUCAACCUCGAGACGCCGAUGGAAACCAUCUGACUAGAGUCCGGAAGAGGAGAGUGGAAUUCCUGGUGUAGCGGUGAAAUGCGCAGAUAUCAGGAAGAACACCGAUGGCGAAGGCAGGUCUCUGGGCUGACACUGACGCUCAUGCACGAAAGCGUGGGGAGCAAACAGG
rnacentral:rRNA from 1 species